AAUUUCAUUGAGUAUGUUGUUGUU
rnacentral:miRNA from 1 species